GCGCGAUACAGGGUGACAGCCCCGUACACAAAAAUGCACAUGCUGUGAGCUCGAUGAGUAGGGCGGGACACGUGGUAUCCUGUCUGAAUAUGGGGGGACCAUCCUCCAAGGCUAAAUACUCCUGACUGACCGAUAGUGAACCAGUACCGUGAGGGAAAGGCGAAAAGAACCCCGGCGAGGGGAGUGAAAAAGAACCUGAAACCGUGUACGUACAAGCAGUGGGAGCACAGAGCAAUCUGUGUGACUGCGUACCUUUUGUAUAAUGGGUCAGCGACUUAUAUUCUGUAGCAAGGUUAACCGAAUAGGGGAGCCGAAGGGAAACCGAGUCUUAACUGGGCGUUAAGUUGCAGGGUAUAGACCCGAAACCCGGUGAUCUAGCCAUGGGCAGGUUGAAGGUUGGGUAACACUAACUGGAGGACCGAACCGACUAAUGUUGAAAAAUUAGCGGAUGACUUGUGGCUGGGGGUGAAAGGCCAAUCAAACCGGGAGAUAGCUGGUUCUCCCCGAAAGCUAUUUAGGUAGCGCCUCGUGAAUUCAUCUCCGGGGGUAGAGCACUGUUUCGGCAAGGGGGUCAUCCCGACUUACCAACCCGAUGCAAACUGCGAAUACCGGAGAAUGUUAUCACGGGAGACACACGGCGGGUGCUAACGUCCGUCGUGAAGAGGGAAACAACCCAGACCGCCAGCUAAGGUCCCAAAGUCAUGGUUAAGUGGGAAACGAUGUGGGAAGGCCCAGACAGCCAGGAUGUUGGCUUAGAAGCAGCCAUCAUUUAAAGAAAGCGUAAUAGCUCACUGGUCGAGUCGGCCUGCGCGGAAGAUGUAACGGGGCUAAACCAUGCACCGAAGCUGCGGCAGCGACGCUUAUGCGUUGUUGGGUAGGGGAGCGUUCUGUAAGCCUGUGAAGGUGUACUGUGAGGUAUGCUGGAGGUAUCAGAAGUGCGAAUGCUGACAUAAGUAACGAUAAAGCGGGUGAAAAGCCCGCUCGCCGGAAGACCAAGGGUUCCUGUCCAACGUUAAUCGGGGCAGGGUGAGUCGACCCCUAAGGCGAGGCCGAAAGGCGUAGUCGAUGGGAAACAGGUUAAUAUUCCUGUACUUGGUGUUACUGCGAAGGGGGGACGGAGAAGGCUAUGUUGGCCGGGCGACGGUUGUCCCGGUUUAAGCGUGUAGGCUGGUUUUCCAGGCAAAUCCGGAAAAUCAAGGCUGAGGCGUGAUGACGAGGCACUACGGUGCUGAAGCAACAAAUGCCCUGCUUCCAGGAAAAGCCUCUAAGCAUCAGGUAACAUCAAAUCGUACCCCAAACCGACACAGGUGGUCAGGUAGAGAAUACCAAGGCGCUUGAGAGAACUCGGGUGAAGGAACUAGGCAAAAUGGUGCCGUAACUUCGGGAGAAGGCACGCUGAUAUGUAGGUGAAGUCCCUCGCGGAUGGAGCUGAAAUCAGUCGAAGAUACCAGCUGGCUGCAACUGUUUAUUAAAAACACAGCACUGUGCAAACACGAAAGUGGACGUAUACGGUGUGACGCCUGCCCGGUGCCGGAAGGUUAAUUGAUGGGGUCAGCGCAAGCGAAGCUCUUGAUCGAAGCCCCGGUAAACGGCGGCCGUAACUAUAACGGUCCUAAGGUAGCGAAAUUCCUUGUCGGGUAAGUUCCGACCUGCACGAAUGGCGUAAUGAUGGCCAGGCUGUCUCCACCCGAGACUCAGUGAAAUUGAACUCGCUGUGAAGAUGCAGUGUACCCGCGGCAAGACGGAAAGACCCCGUGAACCUUUACUAUAGCUUGACACUGAACAUUGAGCCUUGAUG
rnacentral:rRNA from 1 species